rnacentral:rRNA from 1 species
UUGAUGCUUGCAUCAGAUGACGAGUGGCGCACGGGUGAGUAACGCGUAUACAAUCUGCCUUUUACAGGGGGAUAGCCUUUAGAAAUGAAGAUUAAUAUCCCAUAGUAAGUUGUUAUUGCAUGAUAGUAACUUUAAAGUUUCGGCGGUAAAAGAUGAGUAUGCGUUCUAUUAGCUAGAUGGUGUGGUAACGGCACACCAUGGCGACGAUAGAUAGGGGCCCUGAGAGGGGGAUCCCCCACACUGGUACUGAGACACGGACCAGACUCCUACGGGAGGCAGCAGUGAGGAAUAUUGGACAAUGGGCGAGAGCCUGAUCCAGCCAUGCCGCGUGCAGGAAGACUGCCCUAUGGGUUGUAAACUGCUUUUAUACAGGAAGAAACCUUUUCACGUGUGAAAAGCUGACGGUACUG